rnacentral:rRNA from 1 species
UACAGAGGUCUCAAGCGUUGUUCGGAUUCAUUGGGCGUAAAGGGUGUGUAGGUGGCGCCGUAAGUCGGGUGUGAAAUUUCGGAGCUUAACUCCGAAACUGCAUUUGAUACUGCGGUGCUUGAGGACUGGAGAGGAGACUGGAAUUUACGGUGUAGCGGUGAAAUGCGUAGAUAUCGUAAGGAAGACCAGUGGCGAAGGCGGGUCUCUGGACAGUUCCUGACCGGCUGAGGCAACGAAGGCCAGGGGAGCAAACGGG